rnacentral:tRNA from 1 species
AGGGAUAUAGCUCAGUGGUAGAGCACAUGCUUAGCAUGCACGAGGUCCUGGGUUCAAUCCCCAGUACCUCCA